AUUGAACGCUGGCGGCAUGCCUUACACAUGCAAGUCGAACGGCAGCACGGGUGCUUGCACCUGGUGGCGAGUGGCGAACGGGUGAGUAAUACAUCGGAACAUGUCCUGUAGUGGGGGAUAGCCCGUCGAAAGCCGGAUUAAUACCGCAUACGAUCUACGGAUGAAAGCGGGGGACCUUCGGGCCUCGCGCUAUAGGGUUGGCCGAUGGCUGAUUAGCUAGUUGGUGGGGUAAAGGCCUACCAAGGCGACGAUCAGUAGAUGGUCUGAGAGGACGACCAGCCACACUGGGACUGAGACACGGCCCAGACUCCUACGGGAGGCAGCAGUGGGGAAUUUUGGACAAUGGGCGAAAGCCUGAUCCAGCAAUGCCGCGUGUGUGAAGAAGGCCUUCGGGUUGUAAAGCACUUUUGUCCGGAAAGAAAUCCUUGGCUCUAAUACAGUCGGGGGAUGACGGUACCGGAAGAAUAAGCACCGGCUAACUACGUG
rnacentral:rRNA from 1 species